GACGAACGCUGGCGGCGCGCCUAACACAUGCAAGUCGAGCGAUGAAAUUUUAACCGAUCUCUUCGGAGAGAAGAUAAAAUGGAUUAGCGGCGGACGGGUGAGUAACACGUGAGAAACCUGCCUUUCACAAGGGGAUAGCCUCGGGAAACCGGGAUUAAUACCCUAUGACACAUUUCCUUCGCAUGGAAGAAAUGUUAAAACUCCGGUGGUGAAAGAUGGUCUCGCGCCUGAUUAGCUAGUUGGUGGGGUAACGGCCCACCAAGGCCAUGAUCAGUAACCGGCCUGAGAGGGUGAACGGUCACAUUGGAACUGAGACACGGUCCAAACUCCUACGGGAGGCAGCAGUGGGGAAUAUUGCACAAUGGAGGAAACUCUGAUGCAGCGACGCCGCGUGAGCGAUGAAGGCUUUCGAGUCGUAAAGUUCUGUCCUAUGGGAAGAUAAUGACGGUACCAUAGGAGGAAGCCCCGGCUAACUACGUGCCAGCAGCCGCGGUAAUACGUAGGGGGCGAGCGUUGUCCGGAAUCACUGGGCGUAAAGGGUUCGCAGGCGGUUUACCAAGUCCGAUGUGAAAGGCAUGGGCUCAACCCAUGUAAGCAUUGGAAACUGGUAGACUUGAGUUAAGGAGAGGUAAGUGGAAUUCCUAGUGUAGCGGUGAAAUGCGUAGAUAUUAGGAAGAAUACCGGUGGCGAAGGCGACUUACUGGACUUAAACUGACGCUGAGGAACGAAAGCGUGGGGAGCAAACAGGAUUAGAUACCCUGGUAGUCCACGCUGUAAACGAUGAGUGCUAGGUGUCGGGGCAACUCGGUGCCGCAGUUAACACAUUAAGCACUCCCCCUGGGGAGUACGUGCGCAAGCAUG
rnacentral:rRNA from 1 species